GUUAACGCAACAAUUUCUCUCUUGUUACCGUCACCGCGAAAUCGCCGAUUAGGGUUCUGAGAAAAGCACUUUCUCCGCAAUGAGAGCCAAGUGGAAGAAGAAGCGUAUGAGGAGGCUGAAGAGGAAGAGACGAAAGAUGAGACAGCGAUCUAAGUAGAGACUCCUCCUUUGAAGACUUCGCUUUUCCAUCUGCUUCCUUGUCUUUGCUUUUCGCUUCAAUCCUAAGUACCGUUGUCGGAUUUUUGUUUCAGCUUUUAAGUUUUCUGGGCUUCGUUUUUGUUGGAUUGUAUGGAUCCUCAAUCAAUGUUAAAGCUUCAUCUUUUUAAUCAGAUGUUCACCAACAAUGUUAUCAUCUUGUAGCCGUUUAUCCUCGUAGUGAAUUGAGAAUAUGUCAAUUCAUCAUUUGGA